rnacentral:rRNA from 1 species
CGACCCCAGGUCAAGCGGGGUUACCCGCUGAAUUUAAGCA